rnacentral:rRNA from 1 species
AUAGCGUAUAUUAAAGUUGUUGCAGUUAAAAAGCUCGUAGUUGAACUUCAGACCUGGCUGGGCGGUCCGCCUAACGGCGUGUACUGUCUGGCUGGGCCUUACCUCUUGGUGAGCCGGCGUGCCCUUUAUUGGUGUGCGUCGGGGAACCAGGACUUUUACCUUGAGAAAAUUAGAGUGUUCAAAGCAGGCCUGUGCCCGAAUACAUUAGCAUGGAAUAAUAAAAUAGGACGUGCGGUUCUAUUUUGUUGGUUUCUAGAGUCGCCGUAAUGAUUAAUAGGGAUAGUUGGGGGCAUUGGUAUUGAGUUGCUAGAGGUGAAAUUCUUGGAUUUACUGAAGACUAACUACUG